rnacentral:rRNA from 1 species
UAGGGAAUUUUCCACAAUGGGCGAAAGCCUGAUGGAGCAACGCCGCGUGCAGGAUGAAGGCCUUCGGGUCGUAAACUGCUUUUAUGUGAGAAGAAUAUGACGGUAACACAUGAAUAAGGGUCGGCUAACUACGUGCCAGCAGCCGCGGUCAUACGUAGGACCCAAGCGUUAUCCGGAAUUACUGGGCGUAAAGAGUUGCGUAGGUGGCACUGUAAGUGGAGCGUGAAAGCGUGCGGCUCAACCGCAUUACUGCGUUCCAAACUGCAGAGCUUGAGUAUGAGAGAGGUAGAUGGAAUUCCCAGUGUAGGAGUGAAAUCCGUAGAUAUUGGGAGGAACACCGAUGGCGUAGGCAGUCUACUGGCUCAUUACUGACACUAAGGCACGAAAGCGUGGGGAGCAAACGGG